CCUACGGGCGGCAGCAGUGAGGAAUAUUGGUCAAUGGGCGAGAGCCUGAACCAGCCAAGUCGCGUGAGGGAGUACUGCCCUAUGGGUUGUAAACCUCUUUUGUCGGGGAGCAAAAGCCGGACGUGUCCGGCUGUGAGAGUACCCGAAGAAAAAGCAUCGGCUAACCCCGUGCCAGCAGCCGCGGUAAUACGGAGGAUGCGAGCGUUAGCCGGAUUUAUUGGGUUUAAAGGGUGCGCAGGCGGGUUUUUAAGUCAGCGGUAAAAUCGUGGGGCUCAACCCCGUCCAGCCGUUGAAACUGGGGAUCUAGAGUGUGAGAGAGGUAUGCGGAAUGCGUGGUGUAGCGGUGAAAUGCAUAGAUAUCACGCAGAACCCCGAUUGCGAAGGCAGCAUACCGGUGCACAACUGACGCUGAGGCACGAAAGCGUGGGUAUCGAACAGGAUUAGAUACCCUUGUAGUU
rnacentral:rRNA from 1 species